ensembl:lncRNA
CCUUUGAGACCAUCUGGAAAAGAGCUGUGAAGAAAGAGACCUUCUCUUUAUGCUUCAUGUACACAGAUUUUCAGGGGAAAAAGAAAAGGGGGGGAGAAAGAUUUUUGCAUUUUUGCUAAUAUAGGAUUGCAUCAAAGAAAUAUUUGACUCCACUGGCAAUUUAUCCUUCUAAGUGAAACAUAGAAGAUUCUGUCACUUUGAGCAAUGCCUUAGAUCAGACAGUUUAGCUGUACUUAGCAUGGUAGAAUGAACUUCAUGCAUUGUACUGUGUUUGCUUUUGGGGUGUAUGUGUUAACAGAGGCUUAACCUCUCUACCAUCCACUCUGAAGUGCUUCUAGCACAGAAGAAGUGAUGACUCAUUUACGUGUCAGACCAGAGAUCUCAGCUUACUGAACUGUGACGUCCCUGAACAAGAAAGGAACAUCAAAUCAUAAAAAUCACCGUUAUUAGAACCCUGUACCCUCUGAGAGAAUGAAGAUAUUUGGCACAGAACAAGAAAAGAAGAUGAGCACCACAUGGAUUUAUUAGGCUUUCCAUUUUAAAACACUCUAUCAAUGACAGAAGUCAUACCUUGAAAUCCUUGAGCUUUGGCACGCCAAAUAACUGAAUCAUGCACCUGCUCUGAGUACAGAGGCCACUAAAACAGAACACAGCAAUUCCUGAUGAAGACAUGGAUCUAUCUGCCUGUUUAUUCCGGAAGUCGGCAACUCAAAGAGGCAUUCGAGGCUAACUUUCAGUUGAUGCUGAAGGCUAAAUGUGGAGGCACCACCCACGCGUGAGCUGGGUUGAACCACAGCUUCAGAUGGGGCGGUGAGACCUAAUUCCAUCGAGACAACUGCUUCUCAUUCCCACCGCUGGCCUGCAGCACGCUGAGAGCUGCCAGCACCCACACACCUGCUUGCUUGGGGUUUUCUCCUCCUGCCAUCUGGGAGAGAUUCACGUUGCUUCUCACUGUCAUCAUUUGCAGGGAGCAGAUACAUUCAUCCAUUUCCUAGGUGGUACAAUCUUUAUUACUGAAGGCAAUGGAUGAAGCUGGGGGGCUCCCAUAUGUGACAGGCAGAAAGGACACCCCGGGCUCCCAGUCCAUUCUAGGCUUCUUCAGUUUCCUCACAACUUGAGUCACUGGACUACAACUAUGUUCCAGAAGACCACGCCAGCAAGAAGUCACUUUUCCUGUCCUAUAGCCUUGGGAUUGGUUGGGGCCCGAUCUGCCCCGCCCAAUGGCAGGGGGAAUCCUCAGGCUGCAUAAAGCAGAGAAUAAACAUCCGCUGCCAGUUUGCCACCAUGGAAAUCGGUGCUCAGUUCCCACCGGCUCGAACGAUACAGCCACACCCCCGCCGCUCCCACAGCGCCUGCUCCCGCCCGUCC